rnacentral:rRNA from 1 species
AAUCAACGCUGGCGGCGUGCCUAACACAUGCAAGUCGAACGAGAAAGUCCCGCAAGGGAUGAGUACAGUGGCGUACGGGUGAGUAACACGUGGACAACCUUCCACCGAAUGGGGAAUAACCCUGGGAAACCGGGGCUACUACCGCAUAACACAUUUGAGCUUCGGCCUGGGGGUUGAAAUCCGCAAGGCGUUUGGUGAGGGGUCCGCGGCCGAUUAGCUAGUUGGGGAGGUAACGGCACACCAAGGCUAUGAUCGGUAGGCGGCCUGAGAGGGCGGACGGCCACACUGGAACUGCAACACGGUCCAGACUCCUACGGGAGGCAGCAGUAGGGAAUUUUGCGCAAUGGGGGAAACCCUGACGCAGCAACGCCGCGUGGACGAUGAAGCUUCUUGGAGUGUAAAGUCCUUUCGGCAGGGAAGAAGUCCCGCAAGGGAUUGACGGUACCUGAAGAAGAAGCCCCGGCUAACUCCGUGCCAGCCGCCGCUGUAAUAC